rnacentral:tRNA from 1 species
GGGUGUGCAGCUCAGUGGUAGAGCACUUGCCUGGCAUGCACAGAGCCCUGGGUUCAGUCCCCAGCACUGUUC